rnacentral:misc_RNA from 1 species
GACGUUCGGUGGAGGCACCAAGCUGGAAAUCAAA